rnacentral:lncRNA from 1 species
AGCAGCAAACCAAGGCAGAGGUCAGAAUGUUCUGUUCAUUUACAAACUGUGGCUAAGGUUGAACUUGCAAAAAAUAAAAUCUUGAAGACAGGCCCCUUAGGGUUAAACAUUUUCAUCUUGUUCUCGUUCUUCUCUGGGCCCAAGCUCCUCUCUGUUCCUUGGGAAUGGGGCCAGGCAGAGGCCACAUAAGGAACCAGGAGGCCUUCCUCAUUGGGAUGGAGGUUUCCGGGUUGUUCAGAUGGCCCCAUACCAGUUCCCAGAUGCUCAGAGCAUGAAGGCCCAGUCACACAGGUCCAGCUUGAGUCUAGAGCUGCGUGCUCACAUGGGAUAAUUGAGCACGACAUCCUGCUUGGCGAGCUCCAGCAGCAUAGGGUCAUCGAAGAACUUGCUGAUGCUCACAUCUUCACUCAGGCCCUGUGAAGCAGUCACACCACAGGUCUGCUUAUCUGAGGUGUGCAGACACUGGUCUUUCCAAACAGCAGUAAACUACCCUCUAAGAGGAGAAGACACACGAUUCCUGUGGAAACCUUGGAGAUUGAGAUGGCAAUGGUUAAAAGAACACAUACCUUCCUACGGCGGGUUUUGAUCAUGAACUCCCGAGCCAGGUGAGGAGCUGGCUGUGGCUCCAAGGGACGGAUAACAAUGCUCUUGUCCAGCGGAUCACCGGGGACAAUCUGGAAGGCAAAGAGGUUUCAGGUAGAUGAGGCAGCUUCCUGGAGGAUUCAGAGCCAGAAGCAGGAACUUUCUCCAAGGUUGUAGAACAUCCUGGGCAGAAAGGGA